UUAAACCCUAAUUUCCUAAUUUCACUUUUCCUUUUUUUUUUUUUUUUUUCUUUCUAAUUCUCAAUUUCGUAGAUGGAUGAUGAAAUGUUGAAUUGAGCGUGCGCUCCAGUUAGAUUGCUUCGAAAAUGGCUGCUGCGCUUGACAAUCGAGCACAGGUAGGUAAGCAUUCUAGAGUAAAGGAGUCGAAUUUUGUCGAACUGAAGUCGAGGAUCUUUACGUUGCAUUUUAUUAUUAUUAUUUUGGAGAUUCAAGUCCUAACAGAAAUGGAGGAUCAAAUUUGAGUUGAAAUAAAUAAUACUAAUAAUAAUAAAGCUUGAAUUUGAUCUGAACAAGUUUUAUUGUCCUGUUGGCAUAGCCGAUUUUGGCGUGCUUUGAUGCUUUGGAAUGUGAUAAUGUUGCCGGGACCAGUAUGACUUGAUGUUGAAGAUGAAGCAUUUCUUGAUGAUGAGGAUCAAGUAUAUAAACACUCGAGCCAAGGCUCUUGAGAACACGAGAGUUCCAAAAACACUCGAGCUCUUGCAUGAGGUCUGGAUUUCUAGGGCUAGGAGAUAAUUUACUUUGGCACAAUGAUUGGUCUUUUUUUAUUCUAAAUUUGUAAUUCAUUAUAAAUUUGUAUUUGGAUAAGGUUUGGGCAUUUUAUGCUUUUUAAUUGACAAACCGAGAGUCCUUGCCUCCCAACGUCCAUUCCUACUUGAGGGUUGAGAUCAUCCAUAGGAUCUCCUAGCUCCACCUCUAGUCAUCAUUUCUUCGAUGUUUGUGGAUUCUCUGCUAACUAUACAUGUGUACAGUGUUGGAUGUGCUUCUAAAUUCAAUCCAGUGCCAGACUGUCCACAAUGAUACCCAGUGCUUGAAGUAUGUUGCCUGAUCAGAAGGAGCCUCAAACACAUUUAGUCACUUUUUUCUUGUUUAAAUCACAGAUUCCUUGGAACACGUCAUUCUUGGACAGAGUUCAUAUUUUUCAAUGAACUUAUUCCAAAUUUCCAAGUAAAUCUGACAUAAUGACUGGGAUUUUUGAACAUAUUUUCAGUAUUUGAAGUGACACUGCUUGUGCAAGAAACUCCUCAAGUUUUGAUGUCAGGAUCUUCUCUUACUUCCGAUGAAUAUUUAUACGUGUGUGGACCUUCUUAUCAGAUUUACCAGAGGAGGCUAUAUGAUCAAGUCCCACUUGUCAUCUGUUCAUCUGUACAAACGGUAUGAGUCAAACAUUGCAAGUCAAUGGAGUGUUCCUUUUUAGAAGCAGCACAUGCAACUUUCUCCCACAGAUAAACUUGUAGAGAUAAAGAUAUGUUCUCUGAGUUGAAGGUAUUUGUCAUUUUCAUUCCCUUCUCCUGUGUUCAAUUCGAGUCAGGUAAAUAUUCAUAUUUCAUCUAUCUUCUUUAAUUUCAUCCAUAAUGCACAGUUUGGUACACUAACACUAGUAUUUCUUCUAUUAGGUAGGAUUGCAUUCUCAUUUUCCAUUCUCUGGUCUCUUUCUUCUUACAACUACAAAUUGACAUUAACGUAAAUGCUCACCCACGACAACUGUAACUAUCCUUAACUCAUUUAGCGUACACCUAUAUAGUAUUAUUUGUCAUAGUUGAAAUAUAUGCCACCCAUUUUUAUUU